UAGUUUUGAUUACUAUAAAUGGCAGCUAAAGCGCUUGGGAAAGCACAUCUUCAAGAUGAUGUCUUUCAUGAUAAUUCUUGGGAUGGUGGCUGCAACUGCAGUUGCCAUGCCCACAAAUGUGCCUGAUUGUUCUGGUGAGGGCAGGUUCCCCAACCCAAAAUUA